rnacentral:lncRNA from 14 species
CUCAGCUCCGGGUCCCUCAGCGGCUCCGAGUCGCCCAGCCUGGACUCGGGCCGCCGUCUGCCUAUCUUCAGCCGGCUCUCCAUCUCCGACGACUAAGGGAAAGGGAGUACCGGAGGGGCCGGCCCCGCGGCUGCCGGGCAAGAGGUUACUGCCAGAGUGAACUGAGAUUGGAGGUGGUUUAUGUUAAUGCUGCAGUCUGUAGACUGUACUUGCUCAGGAUUUUAUCCAGGAGGAUCAGCUGCUCUCGCUGGAGGAUGGUGACCUCUGGCAGAUACACAGGACAGAGACAGCUGCUUCAGCUUUCCCAGCUAAACCUGCUUAAGUUGGUAUUCCUGUGUGUCUUCACAAGAAGAACCAUAUCAUGGUCCUGUUCUGACAACAUAGGCUCAAUGAAAUGA